UCGGGAAUUUUGGGCAAUGGGCGAAAGCCUGACCCAGCAACGCCGCGUGAAGGAUGAAGUAUUUCGGUAUGUAAACUUCGUAAGAAUAGGAAGAAUAAAUGACGGUACUAUUUGUAAGGUCCGGCUAACUACGUGCCAGCAGCCGCGGUAAUACGUAGGGACCAAGCGUUGUUCGGAUUUACUGGGCGUAAAGGGCGCGUAGGCGGCGUGGUAAGUCAUCUGUGAAAUCUCCGGGCUCAACCUGGGAACUGCAUUUGUGACUGCAAGGCUAGAGUACGGUAGAGGGGGAUGGAAUUCCGCGUGUAGCAGUGAAAUGCGUAGAUAUGCGGAGGAACACCGAUGGCGAAGGCAAUCCCCUGGACCUGUACUGACGCUCAUGCACGAAAGCGUGGGGAGCAAACAGGAUUAGAUACCCCAGUAGUCCCUGAGCGGGCUGGCAAGGCGCAU
rnacentral:rRNA from 1 species